CCGGGACGCCAUCGAUGGGAAGUCUUCCUCCUCACCUCAUCUUGUCUCCCUCACAUGAACGAUGCAGCUUCACCGCUACCCUGCCGCCAUCAAGGAGCAGCUGCACGCCUGCAAGGCUGCAACAUCACCAACUCGACUUGGAUGCAGGGAGAGGAGACGCCCAACCAUGGGCAAGCUCUACGUCGGCAUCUGCCUUUGUAGCUUGGCCUAGGGGGCUGCUGGAGAACACGGAGAAGGACAGGGUCCGGAGGCUGAUAGGCUCAAGC